AAAAUGUUCAUAUAAUUUGCGUAAAAUAUUCUAAUCAAAAGUGAAUUAAAUGUUGCUGAGUAAUAUCGCGUAAAUAAAUGUGAUAUAAUGUUUCUGAAGAAGUGCUACGUUUUAAUUCCACAGGUGAGGUAGUGUGUUAGUGAUAGUGUAAAACAGUGUGUAUUUCUAAUGUGAUAUCAGGAGAAACUACCAAGCUGAUCAUGAAAAGGACCACUUUUCGUUUAGAACCUCUGAGAUGUUUUGUCGCAACACGGCGUUCGUUGCAGCCAGCCAGCAA